UCCGAACCGAUUGGCGUUGAAAAGCCACCGGAUGAGUUGAGGGUAGCAGUGAAAAGCUAAACGAGCUGGGAGAUAGCUGGUUUUCCCCGAAAUAGCUUUAGGGCUAGCCUCGGGCUUAGAUUAUCGGAGGUAGAGCACUGAAUGGGCUAGGGGCCCCACCAGGUUACCAAACCCAACCAAACUCCGAAUGCCGAUAAUUGUCACACCCGGGAGUCAGUCUUCGGGAGAUAACUUCCGUUGACAAGAGGGUAAGAACCCAGAUCGCCGGCUAAGGUCCCCAAAUGUAUGCUAAGUGGAAAACGAUGUGGGAACGCUAAGACAGCCAGGAUGUUGGCUUAGAAGCAGCCA
rnacentral:rRNA from 16 species